AAUCUGUGUGGGCACUCGAAGAUACGGAUUCUUAACGUCGCAAGACGAAAAAUGAAUACCAAGUNGGGAUAACUACUGGAAACGGUAGCUAAUACCGCAUAACGUCGCAAGACCAAAGAGGGGGACCUUCGGGCCUCUUGCCAUCGGAUGUGCCCAGAUGGGAUUAGCUAGUAGGUGGGGUAACGGCUCACCUAGGCGACGAUCCCUAGCUGGUCUGAGAGGAUGACCAGCCACACUGGAACUGAGACACGGUCCAGACUCCUACGGGAGGCAGCAGUGGGGAAUAUUGCACAAUGGGCGCAAGCCUGAUGCAGCCAUGCCGCGUGUAUGAAGAAGGCCUUCGGGUUGUAAAGUACUUUCAGCGGGGAGGAAGGGAGUAAAGUUAAUACCUUUGCUCAUUGACGUUACCCGCAGAAGAAGCACCGGCUAACUCCGUGCCAGCAGCCGCGGUAAUACGGAGGGUGCAAGCGUUAAUCGGAAUUACUGGGCGUAAAGCGCACGCAGGCGGUUUGUUAAGUCAGAUGUGAAAUCCCCGGGCUCAACCUGGGAACUGCAUCUGAUACUGGCAAGCUUGAGUCUCGUAGAGGGGGGUAGAAUUCCAGGUGUAGCGGUGAAAUGCGUAGAGAUCUGGAGGAAUACCGGUGGCGAAGGCGGCCCCCUGGACGAAGACUGACGCUCAGGUGCGAAAGCGUGGGGAGCAAACAGGAUUAGAUCCCCUGGUAGUCCACGCCGUAAACGAUGUCGACUUGGAGGUUGUGCCCUUGAGGCGUGGCUUCCGGAGCUAACGCGUUAAGUCGACCGCCUGGGGAGUACGGCCGCAAGGUUAAAACUCAAAUGAAUUGACGGGGGCCCGCACAAGCGGUGGAGCAUGUGGUUUAAUUCGAUGCAACGCGAAGAACCUUACCUGGUCUUGACAUCCACNGUGAGACAGGUGCUGCAUGGCUGUCGUCAGCUCGUGUUGUGAAAUGUUGGGUUAAGUCCCGCAACGAGCGCAACCCUUAUCCUUUGUUGCCAGCGGUCCGGCCGGGAACUCAAAGGAGACUGCCAGUGAUAAACUGGAGGAAGGUGGGGAUGACGUCAAGUCAUCAUGGCCCUUACGACCAGGGCUACACACGUGCUACAAUGGCGCAUACAAAGAGAAGCGACCUCGCGAGAGCAAGCGGACCUCAUAAAGUGCGUCGUAGUCCGGAUUGGAGUCUGCAACUCGAUUCCAUGAAGUCGGAAUCGCUAGUAAUCGUGGAUCAGAAUGCCACGGUGAAUACGUUCCCGGGCCUUGUACACACCGCCCGUCACACCAUGGGAGUGGGUUGCAAAAGAAGUAGGUAGCUUAACCUUCGGGAGGGCGCUUACCACUUUGUGAUUCAUGACUGGGGUGAAGUCGUAACAAGGUAACCGUAGGGGAACCUGCGGUUG
rnacentral:rRNA from 1 species